CUCUGGUCAUCUAGUGGAUUUGCUUCCUCAGCUGGGUCACAGAUGAGUGUUCACAAUUUUGGGAUAGAGGAAAACCCAGAGCACUGAGUGCAGUGCUCACUCUGUCCCAUCUCCUCCCUUUCAAUCUUAGAGUUCCUGGCCCUCAGGAUGGUCAGCGAGGACCAGCAGUGUGCUGGGUGGCUGGAAGUUUUCUACAACGGGACCUGGGGCAGUGUCUGCCACAGCCCCAUGGAUGAGGUCACUGUGUCCAUCAUCUGCAGACAGCUUGGUUGUGGGGACAGUGGAAGUCUCAACACGUCUGUUGGUCUCAGGGAAGGUUCUAGACCCCGGUGGGUAGACUUGAUUUAGUGUCGGAAAACGGAUACCUCUCUCUGGCAGUGUCCUUCUGGCCCAUGGAAAUACAGUUCAUGCUCUCCAAAGGAGGAAGCCUACAUCUCAUGUGCAGGAAGAAGACCCAAGAGCUGCCCAGCUGCUGCCCCCUGCACAGACAGAGAGAAGCUCCGGCUCAGGGGAGGAGACAGCGAGUGCUCAGGGCGGGUGGAGGUCUGGCACAGCGGCUCCUGGGGCACCGUGUGCGAUGACUCCUGGAGCCUGGCAGAGGCCGAAGUGGUGUGUCAGCAGCUGGGCUGUGGCCCGGCCCUGGAAGCUGUGCGGGCCGCGGCGUUUGGCCCUGGAAACGGGAGCAUCUGGCUGGACGAGGUGCGGUGCGGGGGCCGGGAGCCCUCCCUGUGGGACUGUGCUGCGGAGCCCUGGGGGCAGAGCGACUGCAAGCACGAGGAGGAUGCUGGUGUGAGGUGCUCUGGUGUAAGGACAACAUUGCCCGUGACUGCAGCAGGGACCAGAACAACCUCAAAUCCUCUGCCUGGCAUCUUCUCCCUGCCUGGGGUCCUCUGCCUCAUCCUGGGAGCCCUUCUCUUCCUGGUCCUCAUCAUCCUGGUGACUCAGGUGCUCAGAUGGAGAGCAGAGCGCAGAGCCUUAUCCAGCUAUGAAGAUGCUCUUGCUGUAGCUGUGUAUGAGGAGCUCAAUUACCUUGUGACACCGAAGGAAGGUCUGGGCAGCCCAGAUCAGAGGACUGAUGUCCCUGCUGAAAAUUACGAUGAUGUUGAAGAGGUCCCAGUGCCUGGAACUCCUCCUGCCUCUCAGGGGAGUGAGGAGGAAGUGCCCCCAGAGAAGGAGGAUGGGGUGAGGUCCUCGCAGACAGGCUCUUCUCUGAACUUCUCCAGAGAGGUGGCUGAUCCUGGGGAAGGAGGAGAGAGCCCUUGGCUGCUCCAGGGGCAGAAAGGGGACCCUGGGUACGAUGAUGUUGAAUUCAGUGCUCUGGGAACAUCCCCAGUGACUUUCUCAUGAUGCUUUAUUAAAUAUGAGAUGGAGCCUCAGAUAUUCUAACUGCCUGUAUUUAAAUAGAGUAGAGCUGACCUGUAAUUGUGUUAUGUGGAAAUUUCUCAAAAUGAGAUAUUCCGAAUAAAUUAACUUUUUGCUCUGAUGCUAAUUUAACAAACUUCAUGUCAAAUGAUUUUAGAAGGUUGGUCCUCAAACACCAUUUUCCUCAAAGGAAAUACAAGAUGAGUGAGCUGCCCUGCUCUCUCACCUGUCUUAGAGGCUAAUGAGGGCAUGAUUUUGCCCCAGCUCGCAAAUGCUCCAGGUCACUCUUAUUAAGAAAAGGAUAUAAACUUGGCCGCAUUCAUACCCUCCUUCCUAACAAGAUGAACUCAUGGAGAACAAAAACAAUUCUGAACAUUCCUUGGUGCUCUCCCCGAUAUGUCACAUCACCUGUUUGUGACUUGUUCCUUGACACCAGACUGAAUGUGAG